UACAGAGGUCUCAAGCGUUGUUCGGAUUCAUUGGGCGUAAAGGGUGCGUAGGCGGCGCGGUAAGUCGGGUGUGAAAUUUCGAGGCUUAACUUCGAAACUGCAUUCGAUACUGCCGUGCUUGAGGACUGGAGAGGAGACUGGAAUUUACGGUGUAGCGGUGAAAUGCGUAGAUAUCGUAAGGAAGACCAGUGGCGAAGGCGGGUCUCUGGACAGUUACUGACGCUGAUGCACGAAGGCCAGGGGAGCAAACGGG
rnacentral:rRNA from 1 species